rnacentral:rRNA from 1 species
AACGAACGCUGGCGGCAGGCUUAACACAUGCAAGUCGAACGCCCCGCAAGGGGAGUGGCAGACGGGUGAGUAACACGUGGGAACAUGCCCAAAGGUACGGAAUAUCCUCGGGAAACUGGGAGCAAUACCGUAUGUGCCCGAAAGGGGAAAGAUUUAUCGCCUUUGGAUUGGCCCGCGUUGGAUUAGCUAGUUGGUGGGGUAAAAGCCUACCAAGGCGACGAUCCAUAGCUGGUCUGAGAGGACGACCAGCCACACUGGGACUGAGACACGGCCCAGACUCCUACGGGAGGCAGCAGUGGGGAAUCUUGGACAAUGGGCGCAAGCCUGAUCCAGCCAUGCCGCGUGAGUGAUGAAGGCCCUAGGGUUGUAAAACUCUUUCGUGGGGGACGAUAAUGACGGUACCCCAAGAAGAAGCUCCGGCUAACUUCGUGC